AUAAGAAAAAGAAGAAAAUUGGAAAAGAAAAGAGGAAAACCUAAGAGGAAGAAGGAGAGAACUCAUAUACAAAAGCCAUUUUCGUAUUCAUGGUGCAGCCUUCACAAAAUGGGUCAUAACUCUCGGCUCGUAACUCCAAAUCAGGGAGGUUCUCGAUGAGGGAUAUAAGCGAGUUUGAAGAUGGGAGAUUCUUGCUGAAUUUGAGGGAAAAAGGGCUUACGGGUUUGGUGAAGAAGAAGGGGAAAAGUCCAGAUUUUUGGCUAAGAUUGGUGAGUAGCGGCUUUUGGCUCGGUGAGGAUUAGCUCAUGAGUCAGUUUAUUUGGUAUAGCGUCGGUGUCAUGCUCUGAUAUUGUAACACUGGGGGAACGUUAGUUUAGAGUUUAUGAUGAUACUCUAUUUUGUUGUUAUUGGAGUAACUUUGUGAGAUAUUGCAUAGAUGAUGUUAUGCUUAUCUGUUGAUUAAUGU